rnacentral:rRNA from 1 species
AUUGAACGCUGGCGGCAUGCUUUACACAUGCAAGUCGAACGGCAGCACGGGCUUCGGCCUGGUGGCGAGUGGUGAACGGGUGAGUAAUAUAUCGGAACGUACCCAGAAGUGGGGGAUAACGUAGCGAAAGUUACGCUAAUACCGCAUACGAUCUAUGGAUGAAAGCAGGGGACCGCAAGGCCUUGUGCUCCUGGAGCGGCCGAUAUCUGAUUAGCUAGUUGGUGAGGUAAAGGCUCACCAAGGCGACGAUCAGUAGCUGGUCUGAGAGGACGACCAGCCACACUGGAACUGAGACACGGUCCAGACUCCUACGGGAGGCAGCAGUGGGGAAUUUUGGACAAUGGGCGCAAGCCUGAUCCAGCAAUGCCGCGUGAGUGAAGAAGGCCUUCGGGUUGUAAAGCUCUUUUGUCAGGGAAGAAACGGUAGAGGCUAAUAUCCUUUGCUAAUGACGGUACCUGAAGAAUAAGCACCGGCUAACUACGUG